GACGAACGCUGGCGGCGUGCUUAACACAUGCAAGUCGAACGGAAAGGCCCCUUUGUGGGUACUCGCUUGGCGAACGGGUGAGUAACACGUGAGUAACCUGCCCUUCACUUCGGUAUAACUUCAGUCAACUGGGUCUAAUACCUGAUAGGAAUCCUUUCUGCAUGGUUGGGGUUGGAAAGCUUCGGGGGUUUUGGAUGGACUCGCGGCUUAUCUGCUUGGUGGUUGGGUAGUGGGUUACCAAGGCUUUGACGGGCAGGCGGCCUGAGAGGGCGAACGGCCACAAUGGGGAUGGGGAACGGCCCAGAAUCCUACGGGAAGGAGGAGUGGGGAAUAAUGCACAAUGGGGGGAAGGCUGAAGGAGCAAAGGCGCGGGCGGGAAGACGGGCUUCGGGGUGUAAACCGCUUUCAGCAGGGGAGGAGCUGGUAGUGACGGUACCGGCAGAAGAAGCACCGGCUAACUACGUG
rnacentral:rRNA from 1 species